UUCAUUUAUUCACCCAGUCAAUGUUUACGGAAGACCUGGCAGGUCCAAGGUGUUGAAGCCACAAAGAUGAAUGAGGUCUGAACAAAGAUGAAGAAAAUGAGGCCAGAAGCAGUUAAGAAACUGGCCCAACGGCAGACAGCUCCUGAGAGGAAGAGUCAGACUGAAGCACAGGCACUGACCUCCAGAGACCAGUAGGCACGCACUAGCACGCAGAAUCCACAGGAAAAGGAUCAGAGUUUGAGUUCAGCCACUAGCUUGUACUGUGACUUCAGGAGUCCCGCAUUCCCUCACAGGGCUGCUAUCAUGGGGAAAAACCAGCUAACUUUUGCAAAGUGGCCAACAGGGUGUCUAGUCCACAGUAAGUGCUUGAGAAAGAGCCUGAAUUUUCUCAUGGAAUAAAAUAUUUCUUGAGCAUCUAUACUGCCCUUUGUCCCGUGCUGGGAACAUGAAGAUAAAACAGACACAGUAUCUGCACCACCCCAGAAACUGAUUGGAACAUGAAAAUGAAUAAAUGAAUGAAGGCUCA